UUAGCUGGGGUGGUACACCCACGAAACCAUAAGGCAGAUCUCCUAAGGUUGAGCUCAGAGAGGACAGAAACCUCCCACUGAGGAGCAGGGCAAGAGCUUGCUUGAUCUUGACUUUCAGUACAGUCUGUGAAAGCACAGCCUCAUCAUCCCUCUAACUUUCUGGGG
rnacentral:ncRNA from 1 species